AUUGAGAUAAAUAUAGAUUAAUAUAUAAAUAUACAAACGUUAAAUGUAAUAUCAAACUAAUAAACCAAUUAACUCCGUAAAUCAACAAAAGGAGGAAGUUCGGUUACUAUAAAAGACAAAAAGCAAGUCAAAGCCAAGUAUAUCUAAAUGCAGACCUAGCAAUUCAGAUCACAAUGAAAUACCAACUUAUCACUUUAGUAGUAUUGAUAGUUUUGGUGGACAUAAUUGUUUGUGCAGGUGGCGGCGGCGGUGGCGGAGGAGGAGGUGGAGGAGGAGGGAUUUGGGGUGGAAGAGGAGGCGAUGGCGGAGGACAGGACACCUUUUUUACCGAUUCAACUUUGGGUUACAGACGAGGAUAUGGAAGACAGUUCCGCGGUGGAAGACAAUAUACAAGCGAUCAGUUUGGAUUUGAAAUCGGUCGAGGUGGACGAGGCGGAGAUGGUGGAAACGGGUGGUAGACAAAAGUUUUGAUCCAAUCGUCAUUAUGUUGUUGAUGAUGGAAACAGUCCCGAAGACACAGCAUAACGAUGAAAAGUACCCGUUUGUACAUACCAAAAUGGUUAUAAAAACAGCAGAAGAACUUUUUGAACUUUUUUUUUAUAGU